AUACGGAGGGUCCAAGCGUUAUCCGGAUUCAUUGGGUUUAAAGGGUCCGCAGGCGGGAAAAUAAGUCAGUGGUGAAAGCCUACAGCUCAACUGUAGAACUGCCAUUGAUACUGUUUUUCUUGAGUAUAGAUAAAGUGGGCGGAAUAUAUCAUGUAGCGGUGAAAUGCAUAGAUAUGAUAUAGAACACCGAUUGCGAAGGCAGCUCACUAAACUAUUACUGACGCUCAGGGACGAAAGCGUGGGGAGCGAACAGGAUUAGAUACCCUAGUAGUCC
rnacentral:rRNA from 1 species